AAAUUGAAGAGUUUGAUCAUGGCUCAGAUUGAACGCUGGCGGCAGGCCUAACACAUGCAAGUCGAACGGUAACAGGAAGCAGCUGCUGCUUCGCUGACGAGUGGCGGACGGGUGAGUAAUGUCUGGGAAACUGCCUGAUGGAGGGGGAUAACUACUGGAAACGGUAGCUAAUACCGCAUAACGUCGCAAGACCAAAGAGGGGGACCUUCGGGCCUCUUGCCAUCGGAUGUGCCCAGAUGGGAUUAGCUAGUAGGUGGGGUAACGGCUCACCUAGGCGACGAUCCCUAGCUGGUCUG
rnacentral:rRNA from 1 species